UUGUAACAAGGUCUCCGUAGGUGAACCUGCGGAGGGAUCAUUACACAAAUAUGAAGGCGGGCUGGAACCUCUCGGGGUUACAGCCUUGCUGAAUUAUUCACCCUUGUCUUUUGCGUACUUCUUGUUUCCUUGGUGGGUUCGCCCACCACUAGGACAAACAUAAACCUUUUGUAAUUGCAAUCAGCGUCAGUAACAAAUUAAUAAUUACAACUUUCAACAACGGAUCUCUUGGUUCUGGCAUCGAUGAAGAACGCAGCGAAAUGCGAUAAGUAGUGUGAAUUGCAGAAUUCAGUGAAUCAUCGAAUCUUUGAACGCACAUUGCGCCCUUUGGUAUUCCAAAGGGCAUGCCUGUUCGAGCGUCAUUUGUACCCUCAAGCUUUGCUUGGUGUUGGGCGUCUUGUCUCUAGCUUUGCUGGAGACUCGCCUUAAAGUAAUUGGCAGCCGGCCUACUGGUUUCGGAGCGCAGCACAAGUCGCACUCUCUAUCAGCAAAGGUCUAGCAUCCAUUAAGCCUUUUUUCAACUUUGACCUCGAUCAGUAGAU
rnacentral:rRNA from 1 species